rnacentral:rRNA from 1 species
UACGUAGGGGGCAAGCGUUGUCCGGAAUCAUUGGGCGUAAAGAGCGUGUAGGCGGCCAGGAAAGUCUGGUGUGAAAUCUUGGGGCUCAACCCCAAGCGGUCACUGGAUACUUUCUGGCUUGAGUCCGGAAGAGGAGAGUGGAAUUCCUGGUGUAGCGGUGGAAUGCGCAGAUAUCAGGAGGAACACCAACGGCGAAGGCAGCUCUCUGGUACGUGACUGACGCUGAGACGCGAAAGCGUGGGUAGCAAACAGG